rnacentral:tRNA from 1 species
UCCUAAUUUAGACUAUUGUUUG